AUUGAACGCUGGCGGCAGGCCUAACACAUGCAAGUCGAGCGGAUGAGUGGAGCUUGCUCCAUGAUUCAGCGGCGGACGGGUGAGUAAUGCCUAGGAAUCUGCCUGGUAGUGGGGGACAACGUUUCGAAAGGAACGCUAAUACCGCAUACGUCCUACGGGAGAAAGCAGGGGACCUUCGGGCCUUGCGCUAUCAGAUGAGCCUAGGUCGGAUUAGCUAGUAGGUGAGGUAAUGGCUCACCUAGGCGACGAUCCGGAACUGGUCUGAGAGGAUGAUCAGUCACACUGGAACGGAGACACGGUCCAGACUCCGACGGGAGGCAGCAGUGGGGAAUAUUGGACAAUGGGCGAAAGCCUGAUCCAGCCAUGCCGCGUGUGUGAAGAAGGUCUUCGGAUUGUAAAGCACUUUAAGUUGGGAGGAAGGGCAGUAAGUUAAUACCUUGCUGUUUUGACGUUACCAACAGAAUAAGCACCGGCUAACUUCGUGCCAGCAGCCGCCGUAAAAC
rnacentral:rRNA from 1 species